rnacentral:rRNA from 1 species
CUGGGAUAACAGAUGGAAACGUCUGAUAAGACUAGAUAUAAUAAUGACAUGGCAUCAUGUUGUUAUGAAAGGUAACACUAAGAGAGAGCUUUGCGUCCUAUUAGUUAGUUGGUGAGGUAAUGGCUCACCAAGACGAUGAUAGGUAGCCGGCCUGAGAGGGUGAACGGCCACAAGGGGACUGAGAUACGGCCCUUACUCUUACGGGAGGCAGCAGUGGGGAAUAUUGGACAAUGGAGGAAACUCUGAUCCAGCAAUUCUGUGUGCACGAUGAAGGUUUUCGGAUCGUAAAGUGCUUUCAGUAGGGAAGAAGAAAGUGACGGUACCUACAGAAGAAGCGACGGCUAAAUACGUGCCAGCAGCCGCGGUAAUACGUAUGUCGCAAGCGUUAUCCGGAAUUAUUGGGCGUAAAGGGCAUCUAGGCGGUCAAUCAAGUCGAAGGUGAAAACUUGUGGCUCAACCAUAAGCUUGCCUACGAAACUGAUUAACUAGAGUACUGGAGAGGUGGACGGAACUACACGAGUAGAGGUGAAAUUCGUAGAUAUGUGUAGGAAUGCCGAUGAUGAAGAUAGUUCACUGGACAGAAACUGACGCUGAAGUGCGAAAGCUAGGGGAGCAAACAGGAUUAGAUACCCUGGUAGUCCUAGCUGUAAACGGUGAUCACUGGGUGUGGGCAGGAAGACUGUCUGUGCCGAAGCUAACGCGAUAAGUGAUCCGCCUGGGGAGUACGACCGCA